AGUGAACGCUGGCGGCAGGCCUAAUACAUGCAAGUCGAACGGCAGCACAGUGGAGCUUGCUCCAUGGGUGGCGAGUGGCGGACGGGUGAGGAAUACAUGGGAAUCGUUUUUUUUUUUUUUUUUUUUUUUUUUUUUUUCCCAGCGUGGGGAUAACGUAUGGAAACGUACGCUAAUACCGCAUGCGCCCUUCGGGGGAAAGUCGGGGACCGCAAGGCCUGACGCGAUUGGAUGAGCCCAUGUUCGAUUAGCUAGUUGGCGGGUAACGGCCCACCAAGGCGACGAUCGAUAGCUGGUCUGAGAGGAUGAUCAGCCACACUGGAACUGAGACACGGUCCAGACUCCUACGGGAGCAGCAGUAGGGAAUAUUGGACAAUGGGCGCAAGCCUGAUCCAGCCAUGCCGCGUGAGUGAAGAAGGCCCUCGGGUUGUAAAGCUCUUUGUUGGGAAGAAAGCAGUUGGUUAAUACCGAUUGUUCUGACGGUACCCAAAGAAUAAGCACCGGCUAACUUCGUG
rnacentral:rRNA from 1 species